CGGGGUGGAGUAACGCGUGGGUAACCUGCCUCACACAGGGGAGUAACAGUUAGAAAUGACUGCUAAUACCGCAUAACCCGAUAGGAUCGCAUGAUCCAGACGGAAAAGAUUUAUCGGUGUGAGAUGGACCCGUGUCUGAUUAGCUAGUUGGUGAGGUAACGGCCCACCAAGGCGACGAUCGGUAGCCGGCCUGAGAGGGUGAACGGCCACAUUGGGACUGAGACACGGCCCAA
rnacentral:rRNA from 1 species